rnacentral:misc_RNA from 1 species
GAUGAAGAACGCAGCGAAAUGCGAUAAGUAGUGUGAAUUGCAGAAUUCAGUGAAUCAUCGAAUCUUUGAACGCACAUUGCGCCCCUUGGUAUCCCGAGGGGCAUGCCUGUUCGAGCGUCAUUUCACCACUCAAGCCUGGCUUGGUGUUGGGCGACGUCCUCUUUGGGGACGCGCCUCGAAACGCUCGGCGGCGUGGCACCGGCUUUAAGCGUAGCAAAAUCUUUCGCUUUGGAAGUCGGGGCCCCGUCUGCCGGAAGACCUGCUCGCAAGGUUGACCUCGGAUCAGGCAGGGAUACCCGCUGAACUUAAGCAUAUCAAUAAGCGGAGGA